rnacentral:lncRNA from 1 species
GAUCCAUACAUAGAUUUUAUAAGUAUUUGGAUGUACCCAGUAGCCUUCUGUCAUUGCAUUAGAAAUUCAGAUAGUUUGACAUCAAAGUACAGUGAAUUGCUUGCAAGUCACUAUGGUGAUCUCAGGUCUGAAGGACAUUUAUGCACAUAUACUUCGCAAAUAGCUCUUGACAGCAGAAUGCUCAGUAGGUGAGUCACCUGUUCAGUGAUGAUGUACUCC